ACCAGACUCCUACGGGAGGCAGCAGUGGGGGAUAUUGCACAAUGGGGGAAACCCUGAUGCAGCGACGCCGCGUGGGUGAAGAAGCGCCUCGGCGCGUAAAGCCCUGUCAGCAGGGAAGAAAAUGACGGUACCUGAAGAAGCCCCGGCUAACUACGUGCCAGCAGCCGCGGUAAUACGUAGGGGGCAAGCGUUAUCCGGAUUUACUGGGUGUAAAGGGAGCGUAGACGGCGGCGCAAGCCAGAUGUGAAAGCCCGGGGCUCAACUCCGGGACUGCAUUUGGAACUGUGUGGCUGGAGUGCAGGAGGGGCAGGCGGAAUUCCUGGUGUAGCGGUGAAAUGCGUAGAUAUCAGGAGGAACACCGGUGGCGAAGGCGGCCUGCUGGACUGCAACUGACGUUGAGGCCCGAAAGCGUGGGGAGCAAACAGGAUUAGAUACCCCCGUAUUG
rnacentral:rRNA from 1 species